rnacentral:rRNA from 1 species
CCUACGGGAGGCAGCAGUGAGGAAUAUUGGUCAAUGGACGAGAGUCUGAACCAGCCAAGUAGCGUGAAGGAUGACUGCCCUAUGGGUUGUAAACUUCUUUUAUAUGGGAAUAAAACGUUCCACGUGUGGGAUUUUGUAUGUACCAUAUGAAUAAGGAUCGGCUAACUCCGUGCCAGCAGCCGCGGUAAUACGGAGGAUCCGAGCGUUAUCCGGAUUUAUUGGGUUUAAAGGGAGCGUAGGUGGAUUGUUAAGUCAGUUGUGAAAGUUUGUGGCUCAACCGUAAAAUUGCAGUUGAAACUGGCAGUCUUGAGUACAGUAGAGGUGGGCGGAAUUCGUGGUGUAGCGGUGAAAUGCUUAGAUAUCACGAAGAACUCCGAUUGCGAAGGCAGUUCACUGGACUGCAACUGACACUGAGGCUCGAAAGUGUGGGUAUCAAACAGGAUUAGAUACCCUAGUAGUC